GAUGAACGCUGGCGGCGUGCCUAAUACAUGCAAGUCGAGCGAAUGGAUUAAGAGCUUGCUCUUAUGAAGUUAGCGGCGGACGGGUGAGUAACACGUGGGUAACCUGCCCAUAAGACUGGGAUAACUCCGGGAAACCGGGGCUAAUACCGGAUAACAUUUUGAACCGCCUGGUUCGAAAUUGAAAGGCGGCUUCGGCUGUCACUUAUGGAUGGACCCGCGUCGCAUUAGCUAGAUGGUGAGGUAACGGCUCACCAAGGCAACGAUGCGUAGCCGACCUGAGAGGGUGAUCGGCCACACUGGGACUGAGACACGGCCCAGACUCCUACGGGAGGCAGCAGUAGGGAAUCUUCCGCAAUGGACGAAAGUCUGACGGAGCAACGCCGCGUGAGUGAUGAAGGCUUUCGGGUCGUAAAACUCUGUUGUUAGGAAAGAACAAGUGCUAGUUGAAUAAGCUGGCACCUUGACGGUACCUAACCAGAAAGCCACGGCUAACUACGUGCCAGCAGCCGCAGUAA
rnacentral:rRNA from 1 species